AGGCUCAUGUGAUCCGUCACGUGACAGCAGAUCUGCAGAAAGGAAGAAUGGGAGUCCGAUCCUGCCUCCUAGGGCUCCUUGCCCUCAUCGUCACUGGCAAAUGCAGUUACAGCCCAGAGCCCGACCAGCAGUGGACGCUGCCCCCAGGCUGGGUGUCCCUGGGCCGCGUGGACCCUGAGGAAGAGCUGAGUCUCACAUUUGCUCUGAGACAGCAGAACCUGGAAAGACUCUCGGAGCUGGUGCAGGCUGUGUCGGAUCCUGGCUCUCCUCGCUACGGAAAAUACCUAACCCUAGAGGAUGUGGCUGAGCUGGUCCGGCCAUCACCACUGACCCUCCACACCGUCCAAAAAUGGCUCUUAGCAGCUGGAGCCCGGAACUGCCAUUUAGUGACCACGCACGACUUUCUGACUUGCUCGCUGAGCGUCCGACAGGCAGAACUGCUGCUCUCUGGGGCUGAGUUUCAUCGCUAUGUGGGGGGACCUGCAGAGACCCAUGUUGUAAGGUCCCCACGUCCCUACCAGCUCCCUCAGGCCUUGGCCUCCCAUGUGGACUUUGUGGGGGGAUUGCACCGCUUUCCCCCCACAUCAUCCCUGAGGCAACGCUCUGAGCCACAGGUGGCACAGACUGUUGGCCUGCACCUGGGGGUGACCCCAUCCGUGAUCCGUGAGCGAUACAACUUGACGGCACAAGACGUGGGCUCUGGCACCAGCAACAACAGCCAGGCCUGUGCCCAGUUCCUGGAGCAGUACUUCCAUGCCUCAGAUCUGGCUGAGUUCAUGCGCCUCUUUGGUGGCAACUUUGCACACCAGGCAUCAGUAACCCGUGUGGUUGGACAACAGGGCCGGGGCCGGGCCGGGCUCGAGGCCAGUCUAGAUGUGCAGUACCUGAUGAGCGCUGGCGCCAACAUCUCCACCUGGGUCUACAGCAGUCCUGGCCGGCAUGAGGCACAAGAGCCCUUCCUGCAGUGGCUCCUGCUGCUCAGUAAUGAGUCAGCCCUGCCACAUGUGCAUACCGUGAGCUAUGGAGAUGACGAGGACUCCCUCAGCAGCGCCUACAUCCAGCGGGUCAACACUGAGCUCAUGAAGGCUGCUACUCGGGGUCUCACCCUGCUCUUUGCCUCAGGUGACAGUGGGGCUGGGUGUCGGUCUGUCUCUGGAAGACACCAGUUCCGUCCUAGCUUCCCUGCCUCCAGCCCCUAUGUCACCACAGUGGGAGGCACAUCCUUCCAAAAUCCUUUCCUCGUCACAAAUGAGGUUGUUGACUAUAUCAGUGGUGGUGGCUUCAGCAAUGUGUUCCCAAGGCCUUCAUACCAGGAGGAAGCUGUAUCCCAGUUCCUGAGCUCUAGCCCCCACCUGCCACCAUCUAGUUACUUCAAUGCCAGUGGCCGUGCCUACCCAGAUGUGGCUGCACUUUCCGAUGGCUACUGGGUGGUCAGCAAUAGGGUGCCCAUUCCAUGGGUGUCUGGAACUUCGGCCUCCACUCCAGUGUUUGGGGGGCUCUUAUCCUUGAUAAAUGAGCACAGAAUCCUCAGUGGCCGUCCCCCUCUUGGCUUUCUCAACCCAAGGCUGUACAAACAGCGUGGGACAGGACUCUUUGAUGUAACCCGUGGCUGCCAUGUGUCCUGUCUCAAUGAAGAGGUGGAAGGUCAGGGUUUCUGCUCUGGCCCUGGCUGGGAUCCUGUGACAGGCUGGGGAACACCCAACUUCCCAGCUCUGCUGAAGGCACUACUCAACCCUUGACCCUUUCCUGCCAGGAUAGCUGACCUGUCCCCUGCCUUGCAGCUUGGUCCCUUAUUCUGCCCUGUUGGAAUUCCUGCUGAACCUUUAACUGUUGACUGCUGUAGACAGCUUAUCUCCUUAACACUGAAAUGCUGUCAGCUUGACCUCACUCCCAACCCUACCCUGCUCUAUCACACUCAGGUCUUCCUACUCCUGCCUGUUUCUUCAACAAGAUGCUACAACCAGCAUUUUUUGCACACCAAUCUCUUCUUGCUCUUUUCAACCAGGCUUUUCCAAAGGGUUCUCUACACUGACUGUGUGCACUAUUUUACUUAAUAUUUGCUCAUUUCAUUGCAAUGGUACCUCUGCUCUCACCUUUUACUCUUUCCUCCUGUAACACUGAGGA